rnacentral:rRNA from 1 species
UGGGGAAUUUUCCGCAAUGGGCGAAAGCCUGACGGAGCAAUACCGCGUGAGGGAGGAAGGCUUUUGGGUUGUAAACCUCUUUUAUUCGGGAAGAAGAUCUGACGGUACCGAAUGAAUCAGCAUCGGCUAACUCCGUGCCAGCAGCCGCGGUAAUACGGAGGAUGCAAGCGUUAUCCGGAUUUAUUGGGCGUAAAGCGUCCGCAGGUGGUUUAUCAAGUCUGCUGUCAAAGCGCGGAGCUUAACUCUGUAAAGGCAGUGGAAACUGGUGAACUAGAGUCUGGUAGGGGUCACGGGAAUUCCCAGUGUAGCGGUGAAAUGCGUAGAUAUUGGGAAGAACACCAGCGGCGAAAGCGCGUGACUGGACCGGAACUGACACUCAUGGACGAAAGCUAGGGGAGCGAAAG